GAUAUUAUAGAGAUUGUUUAUAUCUUCUUAUUGAUGUUAAAGAUAUUAAUAUUUUGGGAUAUAGUGAUGUUUACUGUAGAGUAUAUGUAUUUUAAACUUUUUUUUUACUCACACAAUGUUUAAAUUGCAGAUGGCAGUAUACAUAGCAUUUAAUACUACAUCUACCCCAGAAUCUAACAGUACUUUAUAGCUGUGAAAUUUGACAAACACCCUCGAAAAAAUUAUUAAUUAUAUAGCUGCAUAUUAUAACAUCGUAUUCAAUGAUGAGAGCUUUUAAGCCUGAAAAGUAUUAUUUUAUAAUUGCCUCAACUGAACAGAGUGGCAUUUUCUUCACAAAUUUGUUUAGGAAAAUUUAUCAUGUUUGAAUAAUGAAUUUAUAGUUCUCAUGCCUGUAUGGUAAUCUACUAGCACAUGGGAUAUCCCCAUGCAUACCUUGCAUACAAACAUCUACAAAUGAGAUGCCAAGUCUCACCUCUUCGUGGAGAAUCCUCGCUCCACAUUCCCUAAACUAGCAGAUUGUUAUACAGGCAGUUUCUCCCCC
rnacentral:lncRNA from 1 species